UUAAAGGGUUCAACUCAUCAGGGCAAAUUGAGUGUUCACCCUGAAAUGACUGAGCACAUUCAACAGCAAAUUACUUCACCUGGUGUCGGCAAUGAGCAUUGAUUCGCUCUGGCUGACCAGAGUUCUGUAACAAUGCAUUUCCUCAGUCUUAAACCAGACCAAACAAUCAAAGUGGUAAUCAUGAUACUUUGCGAGAGGGGAUAUUUCAAGUAAAGUUUCAAGACAAUCCUCAGCCAAUUCAAGUGACCAGAGAAGACCUCACAGAAGAUCACAGAAGACCUCAGCAACCAGUAAAUAAUGCCCUAGAAACCACUGAGAACAACAUAGCAAUGCAUGUAAAACAUGUUACAUUUAUAGUUUUAUGUUGUUUUAUGUUGUUAAAGGCAACCUUGAUUUUGCCCAUACUACAGGGAAUGUUGAAUCCAGCACAAGAGGGCAGCAUUCAAACCACAGCCGCUUUAGCCAGGAUCUCCACCUGAAACAACAACCAUAAAAACAGCAGCCAGUCUGUAGGUUUCACUCUCUCUCCAUGGCUUCAUGUGGAGUUGUGGAGGCAUACGACCAGAACUUGCUCUCUUUACCUCAGACUUCACACUGCAGCCUACCACUGAUUCACAUCACAGAACACAGCUCAGGCUUGCCUGGCCACUGACGAUGUUGUCCAGCACUACAGCAGGGAAUCCCUUUUGAUGUGGUCUUAAGACGUUUCCAUUUCUUCCGGGGAAAACUGGCAAGGCCUUGUAAUUUAGGAGGAGCCCUGGCAAAAGUUUCAGAGAUGCCUUUUGGCUAAAAAAUCAAUUAGAAAUGGCUAAGUUUUGUAAAAUAUCUGAACACAUUGUUUAAAGUCAUAACUGACCAAAUUUACUUCCUUAGUAAUAAUAUUAAAGAACAAAAUAAACCAGCAUACAGCUCAUUUAAGACUUUUUGAAAGACUGACAAUGCUAAAAUGUAACCAUCAAGAUGACAUCAUGGUUAUAUUUCCAUAAUGAAUUCUGAUUAGUUAUUUAUUUAUUUAUUUAUUUAUUUUUUUCUGUUUGCAUACUGAACUGUGAUGGGUCUCUUCAGUUUUGCAUCUAUUCAGCCUUCUUGACACUGCAUAUAGGAUGUGUUUUUUGACCUUUAACCCCACCAGGCCAUUUUCAUUUCCCACCAACUGUUAAGCAAAAUAGGCAGGUCCUGGUGAAAUGUAACCAAUAAAAUGACACCGUGGUUAUAUUUGCAUAGUGAAUUCCAAUUGGUAUUUUUCCUUGCACCUAUUGGCAUACUGAAUUGUGAUUGGUCUUGUGGGUUUUGCAUCUAUUCAUAAAGCCUUCUUGCCACUGCAAAACAGUGUUGUGUAUGACAUAACCUGAAAACUUUACAUGUCCCCUCAGAGGAAUUUCUGUCUUUCCAAUAACAUUUAGCUAUAUGAAAAAUUU